rnacentral:rRNA from 1 species
GAGUUUGAUCCUGGCUCAGGAUGAACGCUGGCGGCGUGCUUAACACAUGCAAGUCGAACGGGGAACCUUUUAUUGAAGCUUCGGCAGAUUUAGAUCGUUUCUAGUGGCGGACGGGUGAGUAACGCGUGGGUAACCUGCCUUAUACAGGGGGAUAACAGUCAGAAAUGACUGCUAAUACCGCAUAAGCGCACAGAGCUGCAUGGCUCAGUGUGAAAAACUCCGGUGGUAUAAGAUGGACCCGCGUUGGAUUAGCUAGUUGGUGGGGUAACGGCCCACCAAGGCGACGAUCCAUAGCCGGCCUGAGAGGGUGAACGGCCACAUUGGGACUGAGACACGGCCCAGACUCCUACGGGAGGCAGCAGUGGGGAAUCUUGCGCAAUGGGGGGAACCCUGACGCAGCGACGCCGCGUGCGGGACGGAGGCCUUCGGGUCGUAAACCGCUUUCAGCAGGGAAGAGUCAAGACUGUACCUGCAGAAGAAGCCCCGGCUAACUACGUGCCAGCCGCCGCGGUAAUUC